ACUUAGGCUUCGGUCUAAGUUGAGUGGCGAACGGGUGAGUAACACGUGGGUGACCUACCUUCGAGUGGGGGAUAACGUCCCGAAAGGGACGCUAAUACCGCAUAACAUCCCGCCUUUGAACAGGCGGAGAUCAAAGCCGGGGAUCGCAAGACCUGGCGCUUGAUGAGGGGCCCGCGCCUGAUUAGCUAGUUGGUGGGGUAAUGGCUCACCAAGGCGACGAUCAGUAUCCGGCCUGAGAGGGCGGACGGACACACUGGGACUGAGACACGGCCCAGACUCCUACGGGAGGCAGCAGUGGGGAAUUGUUCGCAAUGGGCGCAAGCCUGACGACGCAACGCCGCGUGGAGGAUGAAGGUCUUCGGAUUGUAAACUCCUGUUGCUCGGGACGAACAGCUCCGACCUAAUACGUCGGAGUCUGACGGUACCGAGUGAGGAAGCCCCGGCUAACUCUGUGCCAGCAGCCGCGGUAAUACAGAGGGGGCAAGCGUUGUUCGGAAUUACUGGGCGUAAAGGGCGCGUAGGCGGCCUGCUAAGUCGAACGUGAAACCCCUGGGCUCAACCCAGGAACUGCGUCCGAUACUGGUUGGCUUGAAUCAGGGAGAGGGAUGUGGAAUUCCAGGUGUAGCGGUGAAAUGCGUAGAUAUCUGGAGGAACACCGGUGGCGAAGGCGACAUCCUGGACCGGCAUUGACGCUGAGGCGCGAAAGCCAGGGGAGCAAACGGGAUUAGAUACCCCGGUAGUCCUGGCCCUAAACGAUGAAUGCUUGGUGUGGCGGGUAUCGAU
rnacentral:rRNA from 1 species